AGUGAACGCUGGCGGUAGGCCUAACACAUGCAAGUCGAACGGCAGCACAGUAAGAGCUUGCUCUUACGGGUGGCGAGUGGCGGACGGGUGAGGAAUACAUCGGAAUCUACUUUUUCGUGGGGGAUAACGUAGGGAAACUUAUGCUAAUACCGCAUACGACCUACGGGUGAAAGCAGGGGAUCUUCGGACCUUGCGCGAUUGAUUGAGCCGAUGUCGGAUUAGCUAGUUGGCGGGGUAAAGGCCCACCAAGGCGACGAUCCGUAGCUGGUCUGAGAGGAUGAUCGGCCACACUGGAACUGAGACACGGUCCAGACUCCUACGGGAGGCAGCAGUGGGGAAUAUUGGGCAAUGGGCGAAAGCCUGAUCCAGCCAUACCGCGUGGGUGAAGAAGGCCUUCGGGUUGUAAAGCCCUUUUGUUGGGAAAGAAAAGCAGCAGGUUAAUACGCCGCUGUUCUGACGGUACCCAAAGAAUAAGCACCGGCUAACUUCGUG
rnacentral:rRNA from 1 species